rnacentral:ncRNA from 1 species
GCCGAUUUGGUCCUAGUCCCCCAAUUAGUUUUCUCUAAGAUGCCACAUGCAAGAAAAAUAACAAACCAGUGAAGUAACCAACUAACUUUUUUUAACUAGAAAGACAUAAAAAGAUGGUAAUUAGUAUCAAGCCCAGAAAUAAGGCUGAAGACACUAAGCAAUACGCCACACCUGCAGUGCUAAACAUUAAACAAUUAGCUGAGGCUAGAUUUAGCAAAAGAGAAAAAGGGAGGUAAAAUACGUGCCAGCCACCGCGGUUAUACGUACUUCCUUAAACUAAAAUAAACGGUUAAAAGAGCGGUUAGGAAAAAGUUUUUAGGCCUAGCCCCAAGACAGCGGUAAAAAGCUAACCUAAGAAGAAAAACACAGACCUAAAAAAUAAUCUGAACCCGCGAAAGCCAAGAGAUAAACCAGGAUUAGAUACCCUGUUAUACAUGGCCCUGAACUAACAAAGCACCAGAGGAUUACAAACUAUAAGUUUAAAACUCAAAGGACUUGGCGGUUUUCCAAACCUACCUGGAGGAGCUUGCCGUUGAAUCGAUAAUCCACGAAACACCUCACCACUCCUUGAAAACCAGCUUGUAUACCAUCGUCGUAAGUUUACUUCUUGAGAAAGUUAACAAAAAGGAACAACCCCUAGACGUCAGAUCAAGGUGCAGCUAAUGGAGUGGGAACAGGUGAGCUACAAUGCCCCAAAAAGCCAGUGAAAGUUAAACUGAAAAAUUAACGGAAAUUGGAUUCAGUAGUACUGUUUAAGAAGAAAGAUAACAGGAAAAAAGCUCUGGAAUGCGUACACAUCGCCCGUCACUCUCGUCUAGCCCAUAAGCAAGAGGAGAAAAGUCGUAACACAAUAGGCUCACCGGAAGGUGAGCCUGGAAAGC